CUGCCCAGGGAGGAAGCUGGGUCUUAUGACUUGUCACUAUACCCCUGUCUGCUCCACUUCAAUGCUAGCAGCACUUUCAAACAAUUAAGCAGACAUAAAUCCUGAAGGCUGGGAGGCCGAGGCAGGUGGAUCACAAGGUCAGGAGUUUGACACCAGCCUGGCCAAUAUGGUGAAACCCUGUCUCUAAUAAAAAUACAAAAAAAAAAAAAAUUGGCCGGGCGUGGUGGCAUGCAGCUGUAGUCCC
rnacentral:lncRNA from 1 species